rnacentral:tRNA from 1 species
GAGGAUAUGGCUCAGUGGUAGAGUGCAUGUCUACCAUGCAUGAGGUCCUGGGUUCAAUUCCCAGCACCUCCA